rnacentral:rRNA from 1 species
CAGCCGCCGCGGGAAAACGGAGGGUGCAAGCGUUAUCCGGAUUUAUUGGGUUUAAAGGGUCCGUAGGCGGAUCUGUAAGUCAGUGGUGAAAUCUCACAGCUUAACUGUGAAACUGCCAUUGAUACUGCAGGUCUUGAGUAAAUUUGAAGUGGCUGGAAUAAGUAGUGUAGCGGUGAAAUGCAUAGAUAUUACUUAGAACACCAAUUGCGAAGGCAGGUCACUAAGAUUUAACUGACGCUGAUGGACGAAAGCGUGGGGAGCGAACAGGAUUAGAUACCCGAGUAGUCCCUGUCUCUUAUAA